rnacentral:rRNA from 1 species
AGUGAACGCUGGCGGCAGGCCUAACACAUGCAAGCCGAACGGCAGCACAAGAGAGCUUGCUCUCUGGGUGGCGAGUGGCGGACGGGUGAGGAAUGCAUCGGAAUCUGCCCAUUUGUGGGGGAUAACCUCGGGAAACCGGGACUAAUACCGCAUACGACCUACGGGUGAAAGCAGGGGAUCUUCGGACCUUGCGCAGAUGGAUGAGCCGAUGCCGGAUUAGCUAGUUGGAGGGGUAAAGGCCCACCAAGGCGACGAUCCGUAGCUGGUCUGAGAGGAUGAUCAGCCACACGGGGACUGAGACACGGCCCAGACUCCUACGGGAGGCAGCAGUGGGGAAUAUUGGACAAUGGGCGCAAGCCUGAUCCAGCCAUGCCGCGUGUGUGAAGAAGGCCUUCGGGUUGUAAAGCACUUUUGUUGGGAAAGAAAAGCAGCCGGUUAAUACCCGGUUGUCAUGACGGUACCCAAAGAAUAAGCACCGGCUAACUUCGUG